rnacentral:lncRNA from 1 species
GCUGCUGGACGCUCAUUUUUAUUGUGGGCUUUUCCAUCGUCUUACUCGAGAUGAGAAAGCGGGAUGCAGCGGUCUGCCUCUUGGCUUUGACAGGAUUCCUGUUGCACGUUGGAGUUCUCGGGCGGGAUGGAGACGCGUGCAAAAGCGCGGAAGACGCGAAAGACUGCGAUACUUUCUGCCGGAUGACGUGGGGCAAAGCCUCGCUGCACAACAUUCCGUGGACUCGCGGUGGUUGCUUCAAGGAAAAAUGCGAUUGUGUCUUCAACGAAGAACAACUUGGCAGAUACUCACUCCCCAAGUGUCCAGGGACCACAAAAACAUGGCUGCCACUCGAGCACCAAGUCAAUCUGGCCGAAGCUGAAUAUCAGGUGAACAAUAGCUAUUCUAACUAUGUAUGUACUUCUCGCAUCAUAGAGCAAAUCAAAGUUGACGUCAGGGUGGCAUGAAACGUAAGAAAGAAAUAAAAGGUUGGAAAUUUCAGUGAAAUAUUUCAUGAGAGUUCACGAGGCUGUGAAAUAUUUCAUAUUUUUCAGGGGCUAGAGGAUGCAAUCCGCACUCUAACACACAAAAAUAGAAGUAAGUCACAAUUUUUACAUUUUGCGAAACGUGGAAAGGAACCGGUAUUUUUCAAUAUCUUUCACGAAUUUCUGAAAUAUCAUGAAAUAUUUCACGUGAAAUUUCGAGAUUUUUUUUCAUGAAAUUCUGCCACCCUGGUUGACGUAUCCUCAGUAUUCUUGACUUAUUCCUGUAUUGCUUGAGCCACUAUCCGAUUUUGGAGAGAAAAUAUAUAUUGUGCGAUAGUUUCUCGAUUGUAUAGAGACAGCAUGAGGUUGAAUGUAAAAAAAAAAAAAAAAAAAAAAUCUUAAUAAUCCUAAAAACCAUUCGUUACUUUGAUGCAAUCAAAUACUACACCGAAAAAAAAGAUGCUGUAGCAACAUCCCAGAUGUUCCGGUUGUUAAAAAAAUGUGCGACAACUCUUGGAUGUUGCUAUUAACACUCUGGCAGUUAACGU